ensembl:lncRNA
CCUAUGUGAGCGGCAUUUGCAUGUUUUCCCUGUGCUUCGGGGGGUUUUUUCCCGGGUACUCCGGUUUACUUCCCCAGUCCAAAGACAUGCACUGUAGACAUGCAAAUUCCAAAUACAUUCAUUGCGAUUUCCAAAUUGUCUGUAGUGUGUGAAUGGGUGUGUGAUUAUGCCCUGUGAUGUGUUCGUACCCAUCCACAGUGUCCCUUGACUCAUGUCCCGAGUCCCCUGAGAUAGGCUUCAGGAGGUAACAGAUGGAUAAUCGUUUGAGUGUGCAAUAAAGAAAGGGAGUGUAUAAGAGUGUAAGCACAUGUAGAUGUGAGGGUAUGGAUGUAUUUUUCACCUCAAGAAGAUGUGUACUUGUGCUCAGGUGCACCUGACACUCAUGAAUCCUACGCUGAAACAGACCCAGUUUUGUGUACAAGCCCUGAAACACAGAUAUACUAAUAAAGAAAUUUAACAAACCCCCUGAGCAGCAUCACUUUAUCAGGUGUUGAUUCACUGACGAGUAAUUCAUUAAGUAAUUAAUUUAUUAAUCCCACAUUCAUUUAUAAUCCAACCUCAGUGUCAGUGAGGACAGUGUGAGGAUCCUCAAUGCCCUGACACUUUUCUGGCUGCAGGGUCACUUUGUUGUGCAGAUCCUCUAGCAGCUCCCAGUACCCCUGCAACUCCUGCUGAACAUUAACUAUGCAUACCCCAUACUGAUCCUGGGUCUGAAGGAGAAAGUGCAGGGCACUCACCCUGAGAAUGGGAAGGAAGAUAAGAGAGUGUAAUAAGGUUUGUACUUUUAUGUAUGCUCAUAUAUUGCUAUUUGCCAGCUAGCUAAAUAACUAAAGGAAGCUAUACAAUUUAUAUUAUCCUAAGCCUACUCCUAAACGUCUACAGGCUAAUAGGAAAAAAAGAAUGCAAAAGCAUUUUGGUGGCAUAAGCUUCACCUCUCUUGCAGGUAAGUGCAAAUAUGUUUCACCCUGUCUUCUACUCUAGUCUUGAUCACUUUGUCCUCCUUAUUGUUGGCCGACAGCAGUCGCUCCUCGAUAAGGAAACUAUUGUUUACUGCUACUAUUAUUAAUUGAUACACUGCCUGUAGAAAAGAGAGGCAAACAAAUAAAUAAGGGGUUAUUAGAGCACACCUGAAAAAAGUACUUUGUAAUGUCAUACAGGUGAGCUUCAGGUUCAAAGUCAGACGUGGCAAGUGAAGGUGAUUGGGUGAAUGAGUUAUCUAUUUGGAUGCCAUGUUUGAGUGCCUGGUCAUGUUAACCCGUAAAUACAUGGAUGUACAACUGCCAAAACAUUUUAGAAUUUUAUCUAAUUUUAUAUAAAUCGAAUUUUAUAUUAUAUAUACACUGUAUGUUUGGUAUAUUUUAAUAUUUAGUUUGUUACUUAAGGCAUAUACAUUGUGCUACAAAUGUACUACAGAUUGUGUCCAUUAUUACUUAUAGACAGAUACACUAUAUGGCCAAAGGUUUGUGGAAACCUGACAAUCACACCCAUAUGUGGGUUUUCACCAGAAUGAUGCCACAGAGUUGGAAGCUCACAAUUGUGUACAGUAGAAUGCAUGUGUAUGCUGUAGCAUUACAAUUUUCCUUCACUGGAACUAAGGGGCUUAGCCCAAACCUGUUCCAGCAUGACAAUGCCCCUGUGUACAAAGCAAGGUUUAUGAAAACAUGGUUUGCUAAGCUUGAAGUGUAAUAAUUCAAAUAGCCUGCUGAUUGGACCCCAGGUAUUCUUGCCUAACAUCAGUACCUGACCUCAGACCAUAGCAAACAAAUUAAGCUGAAAAUGUUACGGUUAAGGUUGUUAAGGUGCUUGAAAAGCAUCAUGGCUGGUAUUUUAAACAAAUUAAAAUAAUUGUUAAUGUUAAUCUUCUUAAAGUCUUUGUUGACAAUUCCAAUCUUAAAUUCUGUUAAAAUUCUAAUGACUUCUUUUGAAUGACCAAUGAUUUAGCUAAAUUUAGCUAAAUCUGCUUAUAUCUAUUUCACAGAUAUAAGCAGAUGUUCUA